CUUGCUGGGUUGGGAUGAGUGGCGAACGGGUGAGUAACACGUGAGUAACCUGCCCCCUUCCUUUUGGGAUAACGGUCGGAAACGGCUGCUAAUACCGGGUAUUCACUGUCCUUCGCAUGGGGGGUGGUGGAAAGGUUUUUUCUGGUGGGGGAUGGGCUCGCGGCCUAUCAGCUUGUUGGUGGGGUGAUGGCUUACCAAGGCUUUGACGGGUAACCGGCCUGAGAGGGUGACCGGUCACAUUGGGACUGAGAUACGGCCCAG
rnacentral:rRNA from 1 species